rnacentral:lncRNA from 1 species
UCGUGAUGCUAAUGUACAAGUUGUGGAAUUCAGUAGGGGUUACAUCUUUUAGCUCCAUGUUUGAUCCAGAAGAAGGUUAGCUACCAUGAGAUGUGCCCCUUGAGGAAGCCCUUGCAGAGCCUUUUCCAAGCCUCUUGAUCUGGUUCUUGUGCAUCCAAGCUUGCCUUUGCUGCUUCAGCAUGACAAGUCUGCAAAGAGUACACUUGUAUCAUCUUUCAAUAGAAAAGAAUUGUAUAUUUGCAUUUUUUAGAGUUGCAAACCUGAAGUUUCCUCAGAAAAGAUUUGAUGUUCAAAGUUCUUGAGAAUUAGAAAUUGACACCGACUAUUAAUUCCUUCAUUGUCAUCAUCAUAUUUAGCUAGUCUGAAGAAUGAAACAAUGCAUGCUUUACUCUUUUCAUGGUGCUAAAUGAUGAUGAAUAUGAACAGUAAUACCAUCUUUUUUUUAAAAAAGAAAAAAUCUAUUAAGAUCUAAAAAUCUACAAAAGAAAAAAACUGUUGGAUCAUAAUUUUCCUGGAUUCUGAACAGAUGUGAUCACAACCAAGGAUUUGAAUCUAAUCUACAGUAUCAGUUUAUCGAACAGUAUACCGAUCUGUGCAGUUCAACAUCGUUCAAAAAAGAUAAUACCUAUACCUACACCAGAUCAUCAUCAGACCAAUAAAUACCGAUGGAUACAAGGUACCUGAAUGAGAUUACGCUGGAGCAAACGAUCGACGAGGUGCAGGAGAAUGUCUUUGUUGUACUCCGGGUGACCCUGGAUGCCCAUGAUGUGAUCUCCACAUCUG